GUUGCACAUUUCAUUAUUGUUCUCUAAGCGCGCACAAAACAUUGUUUUUGUUGUUGUAAAUUCCUUGCACAGAGCGAGUAGUUCGCGGCCGUUGAUUAUCCCACAAAUUGACGGCGUCGCUUACCAAAAUAUGCCAGCUCGGCACCGUAUUGGGGGAGCGUCUGCUAUCAUUUUCAUGUUGUUGGAAACUCAACAAUUAGUUUUUGCACGCAUUUGGUUGGAGGGAGCAGGAGCACAAAGAGAGUAGCACCACACAAAACGAAGCGGAAGAGGAGGAGAUAAAAUAAUAGAAAAAACGUUCUCCAAUUACCAAUACCUUUGGCAAUGUUUUUCACAUUUUCACACAAAGCGCGCACACGAAAGUACAUAAAAUAUAAAGCAAAACGUUGUGGUAUCUUUGUUAAGCACUUUGCAACUAUUUUAAACGAAUAAAUUACUAAAUAAA